UACGAAGGGGGCUAGCGUUGCUCGGAAUCACUGGGCGUAAAGCGCACGUAUGCGGAUCUUUAAGUCAGGGGUGAAAUCCUGGAGCUCAACUUCAGAACUGCCUUUGAUACUGGGGAUCUCGAGUCCGGAAGAGGUGAGUGGAACUCCGAGUGUAGAGGUGAAAUUCGUAGAUAUUCGGAAGAACACCAGUGGCGAAGGCGGCUCACUGGUCCGGUACUGACGCUGAGGUGCGAAAGCGUGGGGAGCAAACAGG
rnacentral:rRNA from 1 species